rnacentral:rRNA from 1 species
GGUUAAGUGACUAAGCGUACACGGUGGAUGCCUUGGCAGUCAGAGGCGAUGAAAGACGUAGUAACUUGCGAUAAGCCCAGAUUAGGUAGUAACAACCAUUUGAGUCUGGGAUUUCUGAAUGGGGAAACCCACGUAGCAUAAGCACGUAUCCUUACCUGAAUACAUAGGGUAAGGAGGCGAACCGGGGGAACUGAAACAUCUAAGUACCCCGAGGAAAAGAAAUCAACCGAGAUUCCGAAAGUAGCGGCGAGCGAAAUUGGACUAGCCCUUAAGCUUUACACGCGUUAGACGAACGGUCUGGAAAGUCCGACGAUACAGGGUGAUAGUCCCGUAGUUGACGACGUGUGUUCAGUGAAAUCGAGUAGGGCGGGACACGUGAUAUCCUGUCUGAAUAUGGGGGGACCAUCCUCCAAGGCUAAAUACUACUGACUGACCGAUAGUGAACCAGUACCGUGAGGGAAAGGCGAAAAGAACCCCUGUGAGGGGAGUGAAAUAGAACCUGAAACCGUGUACGUACAAGCAGUAGGAGCAGGCUUUGUCCUGUGACUGCGUACCUUUUGUAUAAUGGGUCAGCGACUUAUAUUCAGUGGCAAGGUUAACCAUCUAGGGGAGCCGUAGGGAAACCGAGUCUUAACUGGGCGUUCAGUCUCUGGAUAUAGACCCGAAACCAGGUGAUCUAGCCAUGGGCAGGUUGAAGGUUGAGUAACAUCAACUGGAGGACCGAACCGACUAAUGUUGAAAAAUUAGCGGAUGACUUGUGGCUAGGGGUGAAAGGCCAAUCAAACCUGGAGAUAGCUGGUUCUCCCCGAAAGCUAUUUAGGUAGCGCCUCGGACGAAUACUACUGGGGGUAGAGCACUGUUAAGGCUAGGGGGUCAUCCCGACUUACCAACCCUUUGCAAACUCCGAAUACCAGUAAGUACUAUCCGGGAGACACACGGCGGGUGCUAACGUCCGUCGUGGAGAGGGAAACAACCCAGACCGCCAGCUAAGGUCCCAAAUUACUACUAAGUGGGAAACGAUGUGGGAAGGCUCAGACAGCCAGGAUGUUGGCUUAGAAGCAGCCAUCAUUUAAAGAAAGCGUAAUAGCUCACUGGUCGAGUCGGCCUGCGCGGAAGAUGUAACGGGGCUAAGUAGUAAACCGAAGCUGCGGCAAUAUACUUUUGUAUAUUGGGUAGGGGAGCGUUCUGUAAGCGGUUGAAGGUGUGUGGUAACGCAUGCUGGACGUAUCAGAAGUGCGAAUGCUGACAUGAGUAACGAUAAAGGGGGUGAAAAACCUCCUCGCCGGAAGACCAAGGGUUCCUGUCCAACGUUAAUCGGGGCAGGGUAAGUCGACCCCUAAGGCGAGGCCGAAAGGCGUAGUCGAUGGGAAACGGGUUAAUAUUCCCGUACUUCUUACAAUUGCGAUGGGGGGACGGAGAAGGCUAGGUGGGCCUGGCGACGGUUGUCCAGGUUCAAGUGCGUAGGCUUAAGAGUUAGGUAAAUCCGGCUCUUUUUAAGGCUGAGACACGACGUCGAGCAUCUACGGAUGUGAAGUCAUUGAUGCCAUGCUUCCAGGAAAAGCCUCUAAGCUUCAGAUUGUAAGGAAUCGUACCCCAAACCGACACAGGUGGUCGGGUAGAGAAUACCAAGGCGCUUGAGAGAACUCGGGUGAAGGAACUAGGCAAAAUGGUACCGUAACUUCGGGAGAAGGUACGCUCUUGAUGGUGAAGUCCCUUGCGGAUGGAGCUGACGAGAGUCGCAGAUACCAGGUGGCUGCAACUGUUUAUUAAAAACACAGCACUGUGCAAAAUCGUAAGAUGACGUAUACGGUGUGACGCCUGCCCGGUGCCGGAAGGUUAAUUGAUGGGGUUAGACUUCGGUCGAAGCUCUUGAUCGAAGCCCCGGUAAACGGCGGCCGUAACUAUAACGGUCCUAAGGUAGCGAAAUUCCUUGUCGGGUAAGUUCCGACCUGCACGAAUGGCGUAAUGAUGGCCACGCUGUCUCCACCCGAGACUCAGUGAAAUUGAAAUCGCUGUGAAGAUGCAGUGUACCCGCGGCUAGACGGAAAGACCCCGUGAACCUUUACUACAGCUUGGCACUGAACAUUGACCCUACAUGUGUAGGAUAGGUGGGAGGCUUUGAAGCACGUACGCCAGUAUGUGUGGAGCCGUCCUUGAAAUACCACCCUUGUAGUGUUGAUGUUCUAACGUCGACCCCUAAUCGGGGUUGCGGACAGUGCCUGGUGGGUAGUUUGACUGGGGCGGUCUCCUCCCAAAGAGUAACGGAGGAGCACGAAGGUGGGCUAAUCACGGUUGGACAUCGUGAGGUUAGUGCAAUGGCAUAAGCCCGCUUGACUGCGAGAAUGACAAUUCGAGCAGGUGCGAAAGCAGGUCAUAGUGAUCCGGUGGUUCUGAAUGGAAGGGCCAUCGCUCAACGGAUAAAAGGUACUCCGGGGAUAACAGGCUGAUACCGCCCAAGAGUUCAUAUCGACGGCGGUGUUUGGCACCUCGAUGUCGGCUCAUCACAUCCUGGGGCUGAAGUCGGUCCCAAGGGUAUGGCUGUUCGCCAUUUAAAGUGGUACGCGAGCUGGGUUUAGAACGUCGUGAGACAGUUCGGUCCCUAUCUGCCGUGGGCGUUGGAAGAUUGAAGGGGGCUGCUCCUAGUACGAGAGGACCGGAGUGGACGAACCUCUGGUGUUCGGGUUGUGUCGCCAGACGCAUUGCCCGGUAGCUAAGUUCGGAAUCGAUAACCGCUGAAAGCAUCUAAGCGGGAAGCGAGCCCUGAGAUGAGUCUUCCCUGAUACUUUAAGUAUCCUAAAGGGUUGUCGGAGACUACGACGUUGAUAGGUCAGGUGUGUAAGUGCUGUGAGGCAUUGAGCUAACUGAUACUAAUUGCCCGUGAGGCUUAACCAU